rnacentral:lncRNA from 1 species
CCAUCACAAAACAUGCCGUCCUCCAAAUGUGUUAGAGAACAGCUUCUGGGCAAGAGGGAAGGGGGACAUGUAAGAGAUCACAUUGUGAUCUGAAACAAUGUGUUUUUCUUGAAGGAAGUUCAGUAAUUGUUCAGAAUCACCAACUGGUUAAGUUGUAAAAUGAGUGGAUGAAACAAUGGAAUGAAGACAGGUGGUGUUUUUUGAUGCAUAAACCUGUGUCCUGUCUUCAGUCCUGUGGCAACGGCAAAAAUUGAAUUUUUUUUUUUCUCCAGCUGUCUUCAGGGUUUCACUAUUGUUUUGUCCUUACAGAUCAUCUUUCAUUUGGAGGAAGGAGAAGUUUCACAGCUGUGAGGAAACAGUUACAGAGACAAGACUUGCUGAAAUGAAAACGAACUAAUUAUCAUGGAACAUGAUUUUUCUACAAGUUAUUUGGGUGCGAGAGUUAACCAGCUAUUGGCUUUAGGGCCUCUGGUUCUUGCAGCUUUCUGACAGUGUUUUGUGGAGCAAAUGGAUAACCUGUCCUGAAGCCACUUCAGAUGAGUGAUGGUGGCAGGUUGCUGAUCACUUCAGACCAGAACCUUUGGUCAGCAAGGAGCUUCCUUUCCCCAAAGGAUGAAUUCCUGUCAACGCGGUGGUUCUUUGACAUUCUGCUGUGAAGAUGGAAGAAAU